rnacentral:rRNA from 1 species
CUGCGGAGGGAUCAUUACCGAGUUUACAACUCCCAAACCCAAUGUGAACGUUACCAAACUGUUGCCUCGGCGGGAUCUCUGCCCCGGGUGCGUCGCAGCCCCGGACCAAGGCGCCCGCCGGAGGACCAACCAAAACUCUUAUUGUAUACCCCCUCGCGGGUUUUUUUUAUAAUCUGAGCCUUCUCGGCGCCUCUCGUAGGCGUUUCGAAAAUGAAUCAAAACUUUCAACAACGGAUCUCUUGGUUCUGGCAUCGAUGAAGAACGCAGCGAAAUGCGAUAAGUAAUGUGAAUUGCAGAAUUCAGUGAAUCAUCGAAUCUUUGAACGCACAUUGCGCCCGCCAGUAUUCUGGCGGGCAUGCCUGUCCGAGCGUCAUUUCAACCCUCGAACCCCUCCGGGGGGUCGGCGUUGGGGAUCGGCCCUGCCUUCUGGCGGUGGCCGUCUCCGAAAUACAGUGGCGGUCUCGCCGCAGCCUCUCCUGCGCAGUAGUUUGCACACUCGCAUCGGGAGCGCGGCGCGUCCACAGCCGUUAAACACCCAACUUCUGAAAUGUUGACCUCGGAUCAGGUAGGAAUACCCGCUGAACUUAAGCAUAUCA